rnacentral:rRNA from 1 species
AUUGAACGCUGGCGGCAGGCCUAACACAUGCAAGUCGAACGAGUGGCGGACGGGUGAGUAAUGUCUGGGAAACUGCCCGAUGGAGGGGGAUAACUACUGGAAACGGUAGCUAAUACCGCCUACCAUCGGAUGUGCCCAGAUGGGAUUAGUUGGUAGGUGGGGUAACGGCUCACCUAGGCGACGAGCCCUAGCUGGUCUGAGAGGAUGACCAGCCACACUGGAGCGGGGACACGGUCCAAACUCCGACGGGAGGCAGCAGUGGGGAAUAUUGCACAAGGGGCGCAAGCCUGAUGCAGCCAUGCCGCGUGUAUGAAUAAGGCCUUCGGGUUGUAAAGUACUUUCAUCGAGGAGGCGUUACUCGCAGAAGAAGCACCGGCUAACUCCGUGCCAGCAGCCGCGGUAAUAC